GGGACCUGGAGGCCACGGGUAGGAGUGGGGUCUGGAGGCUCCCUUGACUGUUCCUCUUGUGCCCGACUUUGGGCCCUGGAGGAGCAGGUGAGGGAGCUCCAGGCCGAGGUGAGCAGCCUAACGGGAAUCAGGGCUGCGGAGGAUGAGAUUGACACACAUUUCCAUUCUUUGCAGGAUCACUCUUCCAACCAACAAACCUCCUGCAAGAGAGACACAGCCAAAGAAUAGAAGGUGACCACCAGAACCAGGGCUCCUCAGGCUAGCAUGGAGGCAGCUCCCCAGGUACAAAUGGGGAACAUAUUCAAGGCCCUGGCAGCCUUGGAGGAGAAGGUAGAAGGAGAUGCCUCCAGAGUGGAUGGUGCCACUCUACAUGUGGCACAGUGUGAACAGGGGCGCAAGAGAAAGAAAUGCUGAGUACUUGUCAUCGGAGACUCCAUCCUGAGGGGAAUGGAGGGCCCCAUCUGCUGAUCUGACCCCAUGGAGUGUGAGGUCUGCUGUCUACCUGGGGCUUGGAUCCAGGACAUUACAGGCAUGAUCCCAAAACUCAUUUGACCUUCAGACCAGUACCCCAUGGUCCUAACCCAUGUGGGAAUGAAUGACGUAGCGGGGAGCACUCCAGAUCACAUCAUGAAGGACUACGAGGCCCUGGGAACCAAGCUCAAGGAGACGGGGGCAUAGGUGGUAUUCUCCUCCAUUCUCCUGGUAAGUAGACGCAGUCAGCGCCAUGAGGCCUGCUUCGGAGUGGUCAACUGGUGGCUUUGGAGUUGGUGCCACCAGGCAGGUCUCGGGUUCCUUGACAAUGCCCCACUUUUUCACAAAGGGGGCGUGCUCGGGUGGGAUGGGUUUCACCUCUCCCCUAAAGGCAAGCAUCUCUUAUCUUCCAGAUUGGCUGAUCUCAUAUGGUGUGCUUUAAACUAGCUUUGCUGGGGGAUGGGGCCACAGCAGGAAAUGACGAUGCUUCCCAGCCAUGACAGGUGACAAGCACAAAAAGUACCCAGGGACCUGGACAUCCCCCGCACCCGGAAUCCCGGACGAACUCAGGAGAGGCACAGCCAGGUCCAGGGUCAGAGAGGACCUGGUCAGGGAGCUUCUGGUGGAACUGGACAUCUUCAAAUCAGCAGGUGCAGUGAAUGCUCCUGGCACCAGCUGAUGAUAUCAUCAUUUUCUGCUGCCUCACCAUCAGUAUGAACCUGUUUAGGUAUAAGAUGUCAUCUGUCUCUCUCUGCAAAAAACUCUCAACAUCAUCAGGAAGAUCAUGUAUCAGGAAGGAGGCCAAAGAAAGAUGACAAUAACAUGCUUUCCAAGAAAUGCAGACUGGAAUCUCUUCUAUUUGAGACUUAAAUUUGAGUACU